rnacentral:lncRNA from 10 species
ACUUGUUGUAAAAAUUGGAAAGGCUGAUGUCUUAGUUUAGGUAUCCCUGAAACACAGCUUGGGUUAAACACUUCGGUGGUUUGGUGAUGAGGGAUGAGGAGAAUGAAGUGGCAAAGAGGGAAAGCUGAUAUUAGGGUGCAACACUGAGGUCCCCACUGUGAACAAUGAGAACACAUGGACACAGGGAGGGGAACAUCACACAUGGGGCCUGUUGGGGGUGGGGGGAGAUGGGAAGGAUAGCAUUAGGACAAAUACCUAAUGCAUACAGGGCUUAAAACCUAGAUGACGGGUUGAUAGAUGCAGCAAAGCACCAAGGUACAUGUAUACCUAUGUAUCAUACCU